UACAGAGGGUGCAAGCGUUGUUCGGAAUCAUUGGGCGUAAAGCGCGAGUAGGCGGCUUCUUAAGUCUGAUGUGAAAGCCCGGGGCUUAACCCCGGAAGUGCAUUGGAUACUGGGAAGCUAGAGGGUGUAAGAGGAGAGUGGAAUUCAUGGUGUAGGGGUGAAAUCCGUAGAUAUCAUGAGGAACAUCAGUGGCGAAGGCGGCUCUCUGGUACAUUUCUGACGCUCAGACGCGAAAGCAUGGGGAGCAAACAGG
rnacentral:rRNA from 1 species